UUAUUGUUAGAAUUCCAAGUAUGAGUCUAAUUCCCACAUUGGGUAGAAAUGAGAAAGUAAAGCACCAUAUAAAGGUGAAGACCCAUUAACCCAUUGUUUUAAGAUUUUGGAUAGAGAAUGAUGUCAAUCCCUUAUGUGGUUAGGCUUAAGUCCCAUUGAUGUUGUAGCUCUCCAGUGAACCUCCCCCUCCAUAAACCUAACAAGUGGUAUCAAAGUCAGGUUAGGCUUAGAUGAGUACAAUGGUCCCUAUAUCUUCCUCACAAAGGGUUCCAAGUAAGUGUGUCCCAUUAAGAUGAAUUGCGGUAUGAAAAGAGAUACUUGUGGCUGGUAAUGCUUCCACUGGAGGGGAGUUAUAUUUAAGGAGGAAAUUGUCCCUCCUAGCUAGUGUGCAUUUUUCGUUUUAGAAUAGGGCUUGUCUAGUGUAGAAAGGAUUUUCUUUCCUUGGAAGCUAUUGGAUGUUUUCUAUAUUAUGUUUUUUCCUAAUUAAAACGUGAUCAUAGAUUGUGCAAUAAGAUUUGUGUGAUAAUUUCUUUAACUGAAUUUGAGAUCUGGUUUCUUGUCUCCAAGAAACCUAAGAACCUUACCAUGAAUUAAAAGUGUACGAGUUGUUUACAAAAUGUUUAUUCUUAGCAAAGUCACCCCAUUUUGGUGAGGUGUAUAAACAAUGAAGUUUGAUGAAGAAUGUCAUGAGAAACCAUAAAAAUGUUUAAAAGAACUGUUUCCCUAAUUAACGUAAAACACAAUAUAUCUAACAUGAUCUAAUGUGCUAUUAGAUUUAUACUUUACAUUAUAAAACUCAUCCGAAUCCUACUAUCUUUCUAUCAUUUGGUUGUCAACAAUCUUCUGUGUCUAGUUCUUUUCUGAGGCACUCAUCCCUUCAUGCAUUGCUUGAACCCAAUUCUCAUCCUUUAAUGCUUCUUGAACUAACAUAGAGACUCUAGUUGCAUCAAUGAUAGGAGUCUCAUUGGUAGCAAAAGUGUGGUUAUAGAACGAGAAACAUAUAAUGUUAAAACCGAUGAAUGAGGGGUUAUAUGGUCUAUGCAUUAGAGUCCUUACAUAAGGUUAUAAAAACAUUAAAAGAGGAAUUGGAGUACUAACCAAUCCUGGCUAGAGAGCAAAUACUAGAAGAUGAUUGAUUGAUAGAGUCCAUGGAGAUUUUAGACAUUCAAUUUCAGUAUAUAAUGCAGACAUUCCUUCUUCAAUUGAAAAGGAUGGAGUCCUGGCAGAAUUUUCAAAAUCUGAAAUUGCUUGCUAAACCUUUCU
rnacentral:lncRNA from 1 species